CCUACGGGAGGCAGCAGUGGGGAAUAUUGCACAAUGGGGGUAACCCUGAUGCAGCGACGCCGCGUGAGUGAAGAAGUAUUUCGGUAUGUUAAGCUCUAUCAGCAGGGAAGAAAAUGACGGUACCUGAUUAAGAAGCCCCGGCUUACUAAGUGCCAGCAGCCGCGGUAAUACGUAGGGGGCAAGCGUUAUCCGGAUUUACUGGGUGUAAAGGGGGCGUAGACGGCAGCACAAGUCCGGAGUGAAAUGCGGGGGCUUAACCCCGGAACUGCGUUGGAAACUGUGCUGCUAGAGUGCAGGAGAGGUAGGUGGAAUUCCUGGUGUAGCGGUGAAAUGCGUAGAUAUUAGGAAGAACACCAGUGGCGAAGGCGGCUUACUGGACUGUAACUGACGUUGAGGCUCGAAAGCGUGGGGAGCGAACAGGAUUAGAUACCCCAGUAGUC
rnacentral:rRNA from 1 species